AGGUCCCCAGGAUGAUCGUCCCGGUGCGGACAUGGCAACAGCCGCAGCACCGGGUGCUGUAGAACCGGUCGCUGCGGCUCCGUUUGAAAGUCAUGGACACCAUCCGGAACCUCGCGGGCCUCGUUCUCGCCCAGGCCCCUGACAAAAGCUUUCGGCCCAGCGGUUCAACCCAGACGACUCUACGACGGUGUCCACAGCCAAAGGACGCGUCUUCUGGCCCGCCCUCGGCCCGGGCCCUUGCCAACUCCUGUGCGCCUGCGCUCUGGGCGCCCGGCGCCGCUCUCGCGGGACGUCGGCUCGGAAUCUCUCCCUCCGCCUUCUGCCACAUACAGACCAACGAAGAGCGGAAGGCCGGGCUACCUGGCUUCUGAUUGGAGAAGAUGUGGAGAUUGAAACAGAUCACGCCCAAUCAAAAGUUCAACUCUCUCCGGCGCUGUUUGACCGCGGUGCGCGUGGCUGGGCUCGCUGUCGGGGGCUGUAGGAAUUGAGGGUAACUCGGUAAUUCACCGUCUCCCAGACGAGCUCCGCAAGGAGGAGAAGGGUGAAACAAGACGGAGUUGGUGGCAGACAGCGGGCACGGAGAUUUUUGGCGCUGUCUUUCGCCACGUUGUCUUUGUCACUGCGAGGCCCACGUGACGUAUUCGUGCUCUAUUGUUGGGCCUGUCGGGGCGUGCCUGCGGGAAGGGGCGUGGCUACCAUUCUGGCGUGGCCCUCUAGGCUCAGACCAGAAAGGAGGGCUCGCAAGUAGGCUAAAGGAUUGGAUUUCUGUCCUUCCCCCAUCUCUCUGAAGCCUACUUAGAGGGAGCCAAUAAAUACCACUGGACUCUGCCAAAGGCCAAGGGAUUAAGGAAAAUGACAGCAUGAUAAAGUGGAGAAACCGCUUAGCUGUUGAGUUUAUACAGAUAAUAGUGAUUUUUUUUUUCUUCUUGAAGAGAAAGAUUGUGAAGGACAUUGAAAUAGGCCAGAAAAACAAGC
rnacentral:lncRNA from 1 species